AUUGAACGCUGGCGGCAGGCUUAACACAUGCAAGUCGAGUGAGCGGCGGACGGGUGAGUAAUGUCUGGGAAACUGCCUGAUGGAGGGGGAUAACUACUGGAAACGGUAGCUAAUACCGCAUACCAUCAGAUGUGCCCAGAUGGGAUUAGCUAGUAGGUGGGGUAAUGGCUCACCUAGGCGACGAUCCCUAGCUGGUCUGAGAGGAUGACCAGCCACCCUGGAAUUGAGAAAAGGUCCAGAGUCCUACGGGAGGCAGCAGUUGGGAAUAUUGCACAAUGGGCGAAAGCCUGAUGGAGGCACGCCGCGUGGGUGAAGAAGGUCUUCGGGUUGUAAAGCACUGUUAGCGAGGAGGCGUUACUCGCAGAAGAAGCACCGGCUAACUCCGUGCCAGCCGCCGCGGUAAUAC
rnacentral:rRNA from 1 species